rnacentral:lncRNA from 1 species
GGGUUGUCCUUCAAGACUGAGAAACAGUGCGCUGACCGAUCCUAACCAUGGAUGACCUUGUAUCGCACCAUGUUAUAGCAUAUGUAGCUGGUAGAAUGUUUCAGAUGGCAAACCCGAGACUUUUACAUGUUUCGUGGACAGGUAUAUAGCGGCACAAAUCUUGUGUACGAGUGAUAGUGCCUGUUUGAAACAAUAGCUCUUGAAUGCGUAUGCUGCAUGGAGGAGAAGUAAUGAACGCAUAAGAUCAGAACAUCUGUAUCUUUGACUUUAUUAUUAUUUCCUAAACCGUUGAUUCCUUUCACACCGAACUCUUUGUCUACAUGAACAGCAUGUAAAAUCAUGCGAGUAUUUGCUUCAUCGGGCGUACAAAACAAUUCUUAAAACCUGAAUACUCCUUCUGAGCAGAUUUAGGAUCCUUGGAAGUGCUAGCUAGAUAAAUGACUUCCUUAUAUAUCAUAGUAACUGUUGAUCUACCAUGAUGCUGAACAAUCGCCAAGAAAUCUGAUUAAGGCCUACUGGUUCUCACUGACUCAAAGAAACUUUUUCCAGACAGGAAUUUGACGACCUUGUAUAUAUGACCUGACACUUUUACAGACGAAAACUUAAUUCAGCUUUAAAAUAACUGCAUUGGUCUGCUAGUGUAAGAUUUAUAGCAAGAAUGGUGGUACAA